CAGACACUUAAGGGCUCCUCUUGAGGAAGGAGUCAUCUUUUAUCACCUUUGUCACCUUGACAACUGCGCGGUGGACGUGGAUGGAGGACGGAGAUUCCUCCUGGGGACCCCCUGUGGUGACCAAAGCAGAUUGGGUGCAUAUUAUAUGCCAUUUGGUUUGUUCAAAUGCUCAGCCUUCUGCGUUCACAGCUCCCUGAGGGCUUGUGGGAUGUCAGGGCUGCCCCUGGGGCCAGAACGAAAGACCUGGGGAAGUAUGAAUGGUAGGAGGAGUGUGUGCAGACAUGUGGACAGCGUGCCUCAGUUUCCCUACCUGGAAAGGGUCGUGAUAACCGUACCUGACUCCCGUAUUGCUGUGAGGGUAACAAGGUGAAAGAAGAUAAGGAGGGAGGCCGGACCAAGACAGGAGAUGAACAGAGGAUGGCAGCAAGGAAGAGGAAAGAGGAGGAGAGACACAGAGGGGUGACCUGAGAACCUUACAUUAGGCUUUCCCUGAAGCCGGAGGGGCUGGCAGCUCAGGGAGG
rnacentral:lncRNA from 1 species